rnacentral:rRNA from 1 species
UUGGAGGGCAAGUCUGGUGCCAGCAGCCGCGGUAAUUCCAGCUCCAAUAGCGUAUAUUAAAGUUGCUGCAGUUAAAAAGCUCGUAGUUGAAUUUCGGGACCAUCAUGUCGGUCGUGCCUCGGUACGUACUGGCAUUGUUGGUUUCUCCCUUCUGACGAACCACGAUGUCAUUUAUUUGGUGUUGUGGGGAAUCAGGACUGUUACUUUGAAAAAAUUAGAGUGUUUAAAGCAGGCUCACGCUUGAAUACAUUAGCAUGGAAUAAUGAAAUAGGACGUUUGAUUCUAUUUUGUUGGUUUCUAGGAUCGACGUAAUGAUUAAUAGGGAUAGUUGGGGGCAUUAGUAUUCAAUUGUCAGAGGUGAAAUUCUUGGAUUUAUUGAAGACUAACUACUGCGAAAGCAUUUGCCAAGGAUGUUUUCAUUAAUCAAGAACGAAAGUUAGGGGAUCGAAGACGAUCAGAUACCGUCGUAGUCUUAACCAUAAACUAUGCCGACUAGGGAUCGGAUGAUGUUAAUUUUUUAAUGACUCAUUCGGCGCCUUACGGGAAAC